rnacentral:lncRNA from 1 species
GCAUGUUCAAUCAGUAUUUAUCUUUUCUUUCAAAACUCUUUUGACUGUCCCUGAUGGACUUUGUUUCUCAGUCCUUCUGCUAUAUUCCGUCCUUACAUGGAUUUGUAAAAACUGAAUGCCACAAGGUAAUUUUUCUUCAUAGUAAAUUACCAUAUCAGAAGACAAAGAAGUUCAUAGCCUCACCCACUCAGAGGGAUGCAUGACUCAGGCAGUGAUAACUGACGAAUCAUCCAAAAGUCACCUGGAACACUCCUUGCAUGAAGAUUAAGAGGGGGAAACCUUUUGAUAAUUGAUAGGUAGUUCUUCACUUUCUGUGUCGAUACUGAAAGUCAUCUGAUGACACUGUGACAUACAAAGAAGGGAAAGGUUCGGUGCUAAGUUUUCAGGUUUGUCACUCAACUGAGAUCACAGUCAUUACACAUCCAGGUGCUGUCAGUCUAUUACUUCUCUGAAGAAUACCAUUUUCAACAUGACCUUUUAGCUCAGACUUACUCAUAAUGAUAGCCUCCAUACUACUUGAAAAUUCACUUGGUAGGAGACAAUAUAGUUUCAUGGGUACUAUCAAGACAACUGAUUAUUAUACCAGACACAGGCUCAGAAUCUACCAGCUACUUUCAUGGUGUAGCAUGAUGACAAGCUUUUGUCCUAACCACAGAUAUUCAAAAGGCUGUAAGAACACCUUGGACCCUGAGGCAAAGUUAAAGGCACAAGCUGGAGCCAGAAUACUCUGUACCAACCCUGCUGAAAAGCUAUGGCAUGUUAACCAAGUUGCUUCAGUGCCAAAAAAAAAAAAAUAGUUGAUGAGAAUCUACUCAACCUCUUCCAUAUUCUCUGAAUCAAGCAAAUAGCACAGUCCAGGCGUAGCCCUUAAAAAAAAAUUCUUAAGAUGGUUGGAAAGGAAGUUGGAAUGGGCAUGAUAGCUAACAACUUUCAUCAAAGAACAUCUCCAGCUUGUCAUCUUUUCAGCUUCUGUUAUGAUGUUAUGAACUCAUCUACCUCCAUCCAUGUCUUUGAUUUUUUUCAAUGAAAUUGAAGACCAUCACUAAAACAAAAUUAUAUUUGCAAUUGCAAUACCUGAUAGUUAGGCACAUUAAUCUAAUUUUCUCAC